GUACAAUAAACCGUAAACGGGUGCAAAAUACUGGGAGGAGUUGUAGGAAGCAGCUACCUACAAUAGCUGUGAGCGCGAACAGAUUUAUUGGUUUGUUGGUCUUUGCAUCUCAAUAUAUCCAGGGGCCAGUGAUAAAUGCCAGAAAGAGAGAAGAAAGAUAAUUGAUGGGGUUGAUUUCCAACAUGUUCCCUUUAAUGAAUACAAGCAGAACAUGCAGUCAAUAGUCUCCUUCAUUAAGAUAAGAAAGCUUAAAAUGGGAAAUGUUUCGUGACAAGGAGGUAAUGGGACCGUGGAUGCCGAGGAAGC